UGGGGAAUCUUGCGCAAUGGGCGAAAGCCUGACGCAGCAACGCCGCGUGCGGGAUGAAGGCCUUCGGGUUGUAAACCGCUUUCAGCAGGGACGCGGUACCUGCAGAAGAAGCCCCGGCUAACUACGUGCCAGCAGCCGCGGUAAUACGUAGGGGGCAAGCGUUGUCCGGAUCUAUUGGGCGUAAAGAGCUCGUAGGCGGUUUCGUAAGUCGAGUUGAAAAAUCUGGGCUCAACCCAGUGGAGCACUCGAUACUGCGAGACUAGAGUACGGUAGAGGAGUGUGGAAUUCCUGGUGUAGCGGUGAAAUGCGCAGAUAUCGUGAGGAACACCAGAGGCGAAGGCGGUUUCCUGGACAGUUACUGACGCUCAGGCACGAAAGCGUGGGGAGCAAAAGGGAUUAGAUACCCUAGUAGU
rnacentral:rRNA from 1 species